rnacentral:rRNA from 1 species
GACGAACGCUGGCGGCGUGCUUAACACAUGCAAGUCGAACGGUAAGGCCCCUUCGGGGGUACACGAGUGGCGAACGGGUGAGUAACACGUGGGUGAUCUGCCCUGCACUUCGGGAUAAGCCUGGGAAACUGGGUCUAAUACCGGAUAGGACCACGCUCUGCAUGGAGUGUGGUGGAAAGCUUUUGCGGUGUGGGAUGGGCCCGCGGCCUAUCAGCUUGUUGGUGGGGUGAUGGCCUACCAAGGCGACGACGGGUAGCCGGCCUGAGAGGGUGUCCGGCCACACUGGGACUGAGAUACGGCCCAGACUCCUACGGGAGGCAGCAGUGGGGAAUAUUGCACAAUGGGCGCAAGCCUGAUGCAGCGACGCCGCGUGGGGGAUGACGGCCUUCGGGUUGUAAACCUCUUUCAGUACCGACGAAGCGCAAGUGACGGUAGGUACAGAAGAAGCACCGGCCAACUACGUG